GAGAAUAGUUUUCCUAGCUGAUCUAUAUAUUAGCCAAAAUGUGUUGUACUCUCAGAUCCAAAAGCUAAACAGUGUACUAACCCCAGGGGAAAGAGUCAACAUAUUUUCUUCUGAGUGUGAUGCAAGUGAACAGUGUUGCACUUUUAUGCCUGGUACUUAUUAUUGAUUACCAUUCUCCUUUUUUUAAAGAAGAAGGUGGAGGACAAAAACACAAACUGAGUGGC